GAUGAACGCUGGCGGCGUGCCUAACACAUGCAAGUCGAACGGACAGACGGGAAGCUUGCUCUCGUAAGGUUGGCGGCAAUCGGGUGUGUCAGACGUGGAUGAAAUACCUCUACGACUGGGCUUACAUCGGGGGACAGCAGCUGCUAACGGCUAAUAUGUUCAACCGCAUGGUUCAAUUGUCAUAGACGGUUUUGGUGUUACUUAUUGAUGUAUACGCGUGGCAUUAGCUAGUUGGUACGGUAACCGCUUACCAAGGCUACGAUGCGUAGCCGACCUGAGAGCGUGAUCGGCCACACGGGAACUGAGACACGGCCCAGACUCCUACGGGAGGCAGCAGUAGGGAAUCUUCCGCGAUGGGCGAAAGCCUGAUGGAGCAACACCGCGGGAGUGAUGAAGGUCUUCGGACCGGAAAGCGCUGUUGUUAGGGAAGAACAAAAGCGUAAGCAGCUAGGCACGUCUUGACGGUACCUAAUCAAAAAGCCACGGCUAACUACGUG
rnacentral:rRNA from 1 species